rnacentral:tRNA from 1 species
GGAGUGGUGCUCGAGUGGCUGAAGAGGUACGCCUGGAAAGCGUAUAAGCGUCAAAAGCGCUUCGGGGGUUCGAAUCCCCCUCACUCCG